rnacentral:rRNA from 1 species
AAAUUGAAGAGUUUGAUCAUGGCUCAGAUUGAACGCUGGCGGCAGGCCUAACACAUGCAAGUCGAACGGUAACAGGAAGCGCUUGCUGUUUCGCUGACGAGUGGCGGACGGGUGAGUAAUGUCUGGGAAACUGCCUGAUGGAGGGGGAUAACUACUGGAAACGGUAGCUAAUACCGCAUAACGUCGCAAGACCAAAGAGGGGGACCUUCGGGCCUCUUGCCAUCGGAUGUGCCCAGAUGGGAUUAGCUUGUUGGUGGGGUAACGGCUCACCAAGGCGACGAUCCCUAGCUGGUCUGAGAGGAUGACCAGCCACACUGGAACUGAGACACGGUCCAGACUCCUACGGGAGGCAGCAGUGGGGAAUAUUGCACAAUGGGCGCAAGCCUGAUGCAGCCAUGCCGCGUGUAUGAAGAAGGCCUUCGGGUUGUAAAGUACUUUCAGCGGGGAG